AGCUCUAAUAGCGUAUAUUAAUACUGUUGUAGUUAAAACGCUCGUAGUUGAACUUAAGGUUAUUACAAGUUUGGUUUAGUUGAUUCUAAACUGCUUGCUUAGCCUUUACCUACUGGAUACUCUAUUCUGUACUUAAUUGUAUGGGAUAUUGCCAAGCCAGCAUAAUUGUGAUUGUUUAGCUCCUUACCUUGUAUCAAAGUGUAAAAGCUUGAAGUAUGAGUUAGGGGUCAAGUUAAGCGUUAUAGUUGGGUACCAGUUAUUUUACUUUGAGUAAAUUAGAGUGUUCAAAGCAGCCUCUUGGGGCUUUGCAUAGAUUUAGCAUGGGAUAAUAAAAUAGGAUUUGAUCUCCUAUUUGUUGGUUUGAGAUGAUCAGAUAAUGAUUAAUAGGGACAGUUGGGGGCAUUUAUAUUAAGUGGUUAGCGGUGAAAUGUGUGGACCCACUUAAGAUAAACUAAAGCGAAAGCAUUUGCCAAGGAUGUUUUCA
rnacentral:rRNA from 1 species